rnacentral:rRNA from 1 species
AACGAACGCUGGCGGCAUGCCUAACACAUGCAAGUCGAACGAGACCUUCGGGUCUAGUGGCGCACGGGUGCGUAACGCGUGGGAACCUGCCCUUAGGUUCGGAAUAACUCCCCGAAAGGGGUGCUAAUACCGGAUAAUGUCUUCGGACCAAAGAUUUAUCGCCUUUGGAUGGGCCCGCGUUGGAUUAGCUAGUUGGUAGGGUAAAAGCCUACCAAGGCGACGAUCCAUAGCUGGUCUGAGAGGAUGAUCAGCCACACUGGGACUGAGACACGGCCCAGACUCCUACGGGAGGCAGCAGUGGGGAAUAUUGGACAAUGGGCGAAAGCCUGAUCCAGCAAUGCCGCGUGAGUGAUGAAGGCCUUAGGGUUGAAAAGCUCUUUUACCCGGGAUGAUAAUGACAGUACCGGGAGAAUAAGCUCCGGCUAACUCCGU